ACAUCAAUACUACAUUUCAAAGAACAAGUUAGUUGACUUCGAAAACAAUAAAAUCAACAACUAUUACAAUGAAAUCUCUCAUCGUUUUCAGAGUCAUCGGCGUUGUGCUAUUUCUUUACACUUUCACAUCAGGUGGGCUGUACUCUGCAACGACGUAGAAAUUUAGACCUGUUUGGCCCUCUUCACCUAUUCCAAAUUCUUCUGAAUCUCUCCAUAUCAUCUGUGUAAAGUGACCUAAAACAAUCAGUAUGAUUCACUGUUAGUUUUUCAUUGCUUUUUAUUUAAUUUCGUGCAAAAUGUAAUAAUUAGUAGAGGAUCACCGUAGCAGGUUUGGUUAACUUACUGCUGAAGUAAUCGUUUUAAAAAUUCAAAAAUGCCAAAGUUUUACAUUAUUCGAGUGUGCUAACUAAGAUGUAAUGUUCAUUCCUUAAAGACGGAAAAUGAAAGAAAAAAAAAAUACUGGAAAAAACACCCAAAACGUAUAACACAUUUGAUCAAAUUUCUCAGUCUUAGUUCAAACUCUAAGAAGUAUCUGUAAAAACAUUCUUGUUAUCUUCCAGAUGCUCUAGAACCUCUUGCACAAAGAUAUAAAUAGCUAUAAAAACAAGAAAAUUGAAACCAUAAUUUUAGCUAUUAUUGAUCAGAUAAUAAAAUUUUGGUUUUCCUUAAAA